rnacentral:tRNA from 1 species
CGGAGAUUAGCGCAGUUGGUAGCGCGCUUGGUUCGGGACCAAGAGGUCGUGGGUUCAAAUCCCACAUCUCCGA